rnacentral:lncRNA from 1 species
UCUCAAUAAAAUACAUUUGAGUUUGCGGUUGUAAGGUGACAAAAUGUAUAAAAGCCACUUCAUAUCAUGUGUGUUUUUUUUUCUCUGUAAUCCAUUAGGAACGUGUGACUCAGACCAUCACUGGGUUUAUAUUAACAUUCUUUUUUUCCGUCUGUGGUGCCAAGACUUCAUCUGUCUGUUACUUUUUCCAUUAAUCCACUUUGAGGCUGCUACCUUUGGAUUGAAAAGCAUCACUCACUCCGCCGCGUGCUGCCAGAGGAUUUGGCUGCGACAGUUAUGGUGUCCUUCUUCCCUUUGCAACUCGUUCGUCUGCAAUUAUACAUGGCAACCAAACAGAGCGGAAUACAGAUGCUCGGAGGCCACCUGAAGGGUCAGAGCGAAAGGCUUCCUAUUAUUGCGAGACCCUGUUGUUGUGCGUGCUGCAGACAUUUUUUGAUGUCUUUUGGCCGAUGCCGGGGACAUGUGAGUGACCAGGCACACAGAAGGGUCUUGGCAGCCUCUGAUAUGACCUCAUAAUCAAACACAGACGCCUCCUGUUCUCCUCUUCUAUGUUUUAUAGCCCGUCAGUCAGGAAUCGAUUCCCCGAGGCGUUAAAAUGUGACUUCUACCUGCAGGAGGACUAUAGUUAGGACUGAACGGCGUUUUAAAUCUUCCUCUUUUGCAGACUUCAGGCUAAAUUUGAGAAAAGACUGAUGACCUUUAAACUGGUUUCCAAUCCAAAUGAUCCCCAUUAUCCAUUUUUCAUUUGUAGUUCUAAAAUUACAGACUGUAGUCCUGAAUCUCUUUCUCUGCAUGCUUUAUUAUCAUUUUCUACCCGGUUCUUUAAUGGUCAGGACCCCACAGGACCACAGGACCUUUUUUCUGGCAUGAGUAGAUCAGAUGCAGCAGUGCUUAUGGAGUUUUUAAACACCGUUACCACUCAUUAACAUUUUAAUGUAACACAAGACAAACAAUAAAUCUACACUGAUG